rnacentral:rRNA from 1 species
CGGCGAGCGCGUACAGGGGAGGAACGGGCGCGCGGAGCUUCGGGCGAGUUGGUCGCAGCAUCCUACGGCGUCAAAUCGAAGAGGAGAAGGGGAGUUUGGACGUGGUGCUCACCUAGGAGCACACGGAGGCUCGGCGGGAGGUUUAGGAGCAGCAGGCGGUCGAAGUGGAGGAAGCCCGCCGUCGUAGUAGAGGAGGCAGACGGCGCGGUGGCGUUCCGAGGUGGUCGAAGGGGUCGGGGCGGUGCUGCGGGGCCGUCCCGGUCCGAUCUCGUCUAGGAGGAGGAGGAAGGCGUCCGCGAUGGAGCUGUCGGACAGCUCAGAACGGAGAGGGGAGGCUGGUGGCUGCGUCCAUGGCGACGGCGAGCCCUCGGGACGGCGUCGGCGUCGAGGCGCCGCGGAUGGAGCGGAUCUGGCGAGAGGGGGGGAGGAGGAACCGAGGAGGAGAGGGGGAAGUGGAGCGGGGAGACGAGGGGACCGAGGGGAAGGCGGCCUUAUCCCCUCCUGUCGGCGUCGGCGAG